rfam:Anopheles gambiae M scf_1925491363 genomic scaffold, whole genome shotgun sequence.
AGCUUGGCGCAGUGACAAUAUCGUAACUAAUGAGUUUUAUCCGAGGUGUGAUUAUUGCUAGUUGAAAACUAAAACCAAUACCUCGCCUGGAGGACGCGCAAUAUUGUUCGCUAUGGCAAAGAAGCGUUAUAACGC